rnacentral:rRNA from 1 species
GAAGGAUGGUUCUGCUAUCACUCUUGGAUGGACCUGCGGUGCAUUAGCUAGUUGGUAAGGUAACGGCUUACCAAGGCAAUGAUGCAUAGCCGAGUUGAGAGACUGAUCGGCCACAUUGGGACUGAGACACGGCCCAAACUCCUACGGGAGGCAGCAGUAGGGAAUCUUCCACAAUGGACGAAAGUCUGAUGGAGCAACGCCGCGUGAGUGAAGAAGGGUUUCGGCUCGUAAAGCUCUGUUGGUAGUGAAGAAAGAUAGAGGUAGUAACUAGCCUUUAUUUGACGGUAAUUACUUAGAAAGUCACGGCUAACUACGUGCCAGCAGCCGCGGUAAUACGUAGGUGGCAAGCGUUGUCCGGAUUUAUUGGGCGUAAAGCGAGUGCAGGCGGUUCAAUAAGUCUGAUGUGAAAGCCUUCGGCUCAACCGGAGAAUUGCAUCAGAAACUGUUGAACUUGAGUGCAGAAGAGGAGAGUGGAACUCCAUGUGUAGCGGUGGAAUGCGUAGAUAUAUGGAAGAACACCAGUGGCGAAGGCGGCUCUCUGGUCUGCAACUGACGCUGAGGCUCGAAAGCAUGGGUAGCGAACAGGAUUAGAUACCCUGGUAGUCCAUGCCGUAAACGAUGAGUGCUAAGUGUUGGGAGGUUUCCGCCUCUCA